rnacentral:rRNA from 1 species
GAUGAACGCUGGCGGCGUGCCUAAUACAUGCAAGUCGAGCGAACGGACGAGAAGCUUGCUUCUCUGAUGUUAGCGGCGGACGGGUGAGUAACACGUGGAUAACCUACCUAUAAGACUGGGAUAACUUCGGGAAACCGGAGCUAAUACCGGAUAAUAUUUUGAACCGCAUGGUUCAAAAGUGAAAGACGGUCUUGCUGUCACUUAUAGAUGGAUCCGCGCUGCAUUAGCUAGUUGGUAAGGUAACGGCUUACCAAGGCAACGAUGCAUAGCCGACCUGAGAGGGUGAUAGGCCACACUGGAACGGAGACACGGUCCAGACUCCUACGGGAGGCAGCAGUAGGGAAUCUUCCGCAAUGGGAGGAAGCCUGACGGAACAACGCCGCGUGAGUGAUAAAGGUCUGCGGAUCGUAAAACUAUGUUAUUAGGGAAGAACAUAUGUGUAAGUAACUGUGCACAUCUUGACGGUACCUAAUCAGAAAGCCACGGCUAACUACGUG